GACGAACGCUGGCGGCGUGCUUAACACAUGCAAGUCGAACGGAAAGGCCCUGCUUUUGUGGGGUGCUCGAGUGGCGAACGGGUGAGUAACACGUGAGUAACCUGCCCUUGACUUUGGGAUAACUUCAGGAAACUGGGGCUAAUACCGGAUAGGAGCUCCUGCUGCAUGGUGGGGGUUGGAAAGUUUCGGCGGUUGGGGAUGGACUCGCGGCUUAUCAGCUUGUUGGUGGGGUAGUGGCUUACCAAGGCUUUGACGGGUAGCCGGCCUGAGAGGGUGACCGGGCACAUUGGGACUGAGAUACGGCCCAGACUCCUACGGGAGACAGCAGUGGGGAAUAUUGCACAAUGGGCGGAAGCCUGAUGCAGCAACGCCGCGUGCGGGAUGACGGCCUUCGGGGUGUAAACCGCUUUCGCCUGUGACGAAGCGUGAGUGACGGUAAUGGGUAAAGAAGCACCGGCUAACUACGUG
rnacentral:rRNA from 1 species